rnacentral:rRNA from 1 species
UACGGAGGGUGCAAGCGUUAAUCGGAAUUACUGGGCGUAAAGCGUGCGUAGGCGGCCAUUUAAGUCGGAUGUGAAAGCCCUGGGCUCAACCUGGGAACUGCAUCCGAUACUGGGUGGCUCGAGUACGAGAGAGGGUAGUGGAAUUUCAGGUGUAGCGGUGAAAUGCGUAGAUAUCUGAAGGAACACCAGUGGCGAAGGCG